AGCACGCGCGGGGGAAGCCGGGAGCACGCCCGGGGGAAGCUGGGAGCAUGCGCAGGGGAAGCACAGCUAGGAACCACUACGGGAGCUCCCGGCAGUUCCAGCAUCAGGUUGCGCCGUUAGUAAAAUAGCAUCUAGGGUACCACGAAGGGCCUGAACCAGUGGAGCCUGCUCUGUUUACGUGGCUGCCGUCUCCACCGAACUACUAACUUCUGAAGGGCAGAACAACAGCUUUGGAUGUUCCCACUGAGAAGGCGCAGGACCUGGCAUGUACUCAGCAGUCAAAACUUGGAUCAAAGAGGCAGUGUUUGCAGAGCCACAGAAUCAGAGCCAGAGAGAUAAAAUUUGAUGAAGAAUGGAUAGUCCUCUUAUUUUUAUGGAUUAUCACUUAACCACUGAGAGUCAGAAGAUGGACAGAUCUACAAAGCUAAAACACCUCAGAGAUUUCAAACUCUCUUCCACCCUGAUGUCAAACUGGCUUCUCUAAAGUUUACCUGAAUUAAAGCUGUAUUUUUAAUUUCUGAUACUUAAGAUCAGUAUCAGUAAGAAAUAUCUGUUAAACAACAUUGAAUUGCAAACUCUUAGAAUGUAGAGGAUUUUUUGUACUACUGUUCAGGUGCAUAUCAUCCACAUAAACAGGUAUUUUCAGAGACGUUUCUUAUUAGGAAUUGAAAAAUAUAUCCCCGAACAGUUCUUGCUGGGUAGCCUUAGAUUAUUUGUUAUCCUAACAUGAAUUACUUCUAGAUGCAUAAUAAUAAAACAUGUAUAGACUUGAA